AGAACGAACGCUGGCGGCAUGCCUAAUACAUGCAAGUCGAACGAACUCUUCGGAGUUAGUGGCGCACGGGUGCGUAACGCGUGGGAAUCUGCCCCUUGGUUCGGAAUAACAGUUGGAAACGACUGCUAAUACCGGAUGAUGACGAAAGUCCAAAGAUUUAUCGCCAAGGGAUGAGCCCGCGUAGGAUUAGCUAGUUGGUGAGGUAAAGGCUCACCAAGGCAACGAUCCUUAGCUGGUCUGAGAGGAUGAUCAGCCACACUGGGACUGAGACACGGCCCAGACUCCGUACGGGAGGCAGCAGGUAGGGAAUAGUUAGGACAAGU
rnacentral:rRNA from 1 species